rnacentral:misc_RNA from 1 species
GAUGAAGAACGCAGCGAAAUGCGAUAAGUAAUGUGAAUUGCAGAAUUCAGUGAAUCAUCGAAUCUUUGAACGCACAUUGCGCCCGCCAGUAUUCUGGCGGGCAUGCCUGUCCGAGCGUCAUUUCAACCCUCGAACCCCUCCGGGGGGUCGGCGUUGGGGACCUCGGGAGCCCCUAAGACGGGAUCCCGGCCCCGAAAUACAGUGGCGGUCUCGCCGCAGCCUCUCCUGCGCAGUAGUUUGCACAACACGCACCGGGAGCGCGGCGCGUCCACGUCCGUAAAACACCCAACUUCUGAAAUGUUGACCUCGGAUCAGGUAGGAAUACCCGCUGAACUUAAGCAUAUCAUAAGCGGAGGA